UAGGAGUGUAGGGAAAGGGUCUUUGCACAUACAGAUCAUCAAUCCAACCAACAAUCCUAAAAUGAAGGCUAUCGUUAUCAUCUGCAUUCUGCUGGCUUCCCUUCUUUUCUCGUCCCCUUCAAUUAUUGUGGCUCGCGAGCUGGCUGAUCGGGAUGGAAGUUCUGUCGGAACAAAGAAUCCCAACAAGCCAGGAAUAUCAUGCGGAAGGCCUAGCGAUCCUAAAUAUAGUUCUUGCGUAGGAAAACCAAAGCCCAGCAAGUGUGAUCCAAAAAGUAAAGUAUAUAACCGUUGCAAGCCACCUCAAGGACCUUGAAUCAGUACUAGUACUUAUUGUGGGGGUGAAAGUAUGAAUAAAUAGUACUAAAGUUACAUGAAGUACUAGUAGUACUGUAAUGCUUUGAGAAUAAAUUAAUAGGAUUUGGUUUGACACCAUGAUUAAUAUUGUAAUCGAGCUCGAUCGAUCGAGCUUCCUUUGCAGUAUCCAUGCAAACAUAUAUGUAAAAUAUGCUGUACGUGUGCCAAUAAAUUAAAAAAUCGAGCCGAUCACUGACAUAGUUUUGGUCGGUUAGUGAUCCUAAUUAAUACAUCAAGU